UGCUCAUUGGAUCCAAAAUCAUCAAUAAAAUUUCUUGAAUGGGUGAAAUGAGGAGGUUUUUAGGCAUAUAUUACAUAAAGUUUUUUUUUUUUUUUUUUUUUUUAAUAGUAUGGUACAUCUCUAAAAUACCCUCACCUUCUGACAGUUUGGAUGUGGCUAUUAUGAAUUAUCAUGCAUCUAGACUCCUCAUGUCAGAGAGCUCGAAGGCCACGAAGCUUCUUACAAAGUUGAAGUUUGUACCAAAAUGCAUGGAAAACAACAGAAGCAAAAUUCUGAAUAGCUUAUCAAAAGGACUUCAAUUACACAAAUUAUGCAUCACAAUAUUAAAUAUUCAGGACUGACAUAUGUAUUCAAACUGUGCAAAAUAUGGGAGGUGAUAUGAGAUAACCAGCAUGGUUUCACCAAAGGCAAGUCCUGCCUGACCGAUCUUGUCUCUUUUUUUUGAUGCCAUAACUGCAUCAGUGGAAAAGGAAGAACCAGUGAAGUGAGACCUCUGACACAUUCCCCCGUAACAUCCUUCUCUCCAAAUUGAAAAGGUACACAUUUGAUGGGUUGGCUGUUUGAUGGACAAGGAACUGGUUAUUAGUUGUACUCAAAGAGUGG
ensembl:lncRNA